CAGUCGUGCCGGCGUUGGAUUCAGCUUGCUUCGCGGAGCAGGCGUAUUUCCAUGCAUGGCAGGUCAGCGUCAGUUUUGCGCGGCGUGAAAAGGCUCGGGUAAGGUAGCUCUCUUCGGGGAGUGUUAUAGACCUGGGCAGAUGCGCUGCGCGGGACUGAGGAUUGCAGCGGACACCCCCGUGGGGCGCGGCGACCGAACCCUGCUCGGCCACCCUCGUUCGAUAGCGUGCUAGCGGACGCGGGAGCGGCAGU
rnacentral:rRNA from 1 species